CCUCCUUCUGUUAAACCUGGAACUAACAAGAAGUUGAAAAUUGGUAAUGAAGUUGUGCUCGUUCAAGACUCGGUUUCUGAUUCCGACCCAAUCCCUGAUGUAGCACCCACAUUAUUUUGAUAUAAUAUAGCCAAUAAUCACAUGAUUGCAUUGCAUUACAUAUCAUACAAUAUGUAUAAUUUGAGCAUAUGCAUAUUCUUAUAAGUGUUUUCAUGUAUAAGUAUAAAAGUUGUGUAUGUGAUGUCUAUAUGUAUGCUCAAUAUUAUUAACCUUGUGGCAUUUGAGUUGUCUUUUAUGGGUGUUUGAUGUGCUCAAGAUAUAAGAAAGUAUGAAAAAUAUGGACAAGGCAUGGAAUUAAGUGAUGAAAGUGAGAUAUAGAAGGCAAAAUAGGUUAAGUAGUGAAAAAUAGUACAAUGUUGAUUACUAGUAUUUCGGUGUAAAAUUGAGUAUUUAUGGAUUUACCAAAUGUAAUCGAGGUAUGAUUAAGGUCUCAUUGAUGAUGUAAAAAUGGUUUUAGAACCAUUAGAUCAAUUCUUGAUGGGAGGUAUACAUAAUCAGUGGUAUUGAUGCAAAGUCAAAACGAGCUUAGCAUAAGUGCGCUACGCUCGAUCGGGUAAGCAUAACUAUUGGGUAUGAAGUCAUAUGGACCUAAGGUUUGGUGUGAGUGUUUUACACAUAAGGAUAAUAGGCCUAGCAGAUGAUUAAGUCGAAAUUAUUGAAGUGAUAAGGUUUUCAUAAGUCAAAAGGUGAAAUGAUGAGAUGAAAGGUGUCAACUUUUGACAAUAAGGCUAAAUCAUUGAAAAUAAGGAAUUUUCAUCAACCUUAUCACUUUGCACGACCAUUAUUCUGAAAAACAGAGAGAAAAGAAAACCAAAAACCAUUUCUUGGCUGGUUUGAAGAAAUUAUAAGGAGAUCCAAGUGAAAGCAAAGCCAAAGAAGUAGAUUAAGCUUAGUUCUAGCCUUUUUAUGAUAUUUCUUGGGGUUUCCAAGUGGUUUGAGGUUUAGAAAAGCUUGAAGAGAUUGUCUUUGCCGAAAAGUUGCUCGGAUAAGCACAUCAAUACCUAAGACACCACUUGUUACACGGUGAACUAUAUUUUGGACAAAAGGUAGAGAAAGAAAUAUGUGAAUGAUAUGAGGAGAACUGAAGCAUGGUCCUGACCCUGAUUUGUACAUAUGAACACAUCGACCUUUUUGUGGGUUAUUUCAGUUAUCAGUGAGAUGUUUGUAAUAAAGUGUGAAGUUAUGUUUUGAAAAUAAAUUGGGUUAUUUAAUACUUAUGUAUAAUAUGUUUGAGA